AUUGAACGCUGGCGGCGUGCCUAACACAUGCAAGUCGAGCGGCAGCGCGGGGAGCAAUCCUGGCGGCGAGCGGCGGACGGGUGAGUAAUGCUUGGGAAUCUGCCUGUUAGUGGGGGACAACCCGGGGAACUCGGGCUAAUACCGCAUACGCACUACGGUGGAAAGCCGGGGACCGCAAGGCCUGGCGCUAACAGAUGAGCCCAAGUCGGAUUAGCUAGUUGGUAGGGUAACGGCCACCAAGGCGACGAUCCGUAACUGGUCUGAGAGGACGACCAGUCACACCGGAACUGAGACACGGUCCGGACUCCUACGGGAGGCAGCAGUGGGGAAUAUUGGACAAUGGGGGAAACCCUGAUCCAGCGACGCCGCGUGGGUGAAGAAGGCCUGCGGGUUGUAAAG
rnacentral:rRNA from 1 species